GGGGCCCGCACAAGCGGUGGAGCAUGUGGUUUAAUUCGAUGCAACGCGAAGAACCUUACCAGGGUUUGACAUAGUACGAAUUUUUUUGAAAAAAGAAACCGCCUUCGGGAACGUACAUACAGGUGGUGCAUGGCUGUCGUCAGCUCGUGUCGUGAGAUGUUGGGUUAAGUCCCGCAACGAGCGUAACCCUUGUUUUUAGUUGCCUUUCGAGGAUAUCUAGAAAAACUGCCGAUUAUAAAUCGGAGGAAGGUAAGGACGACGUCAAGUCAUCAUGCCCCUUAAACUCUGGGCUACACACGUGCUACAUUGGGUAGAACAAUGAGUCGCUAAGUCGUGAGACCAAGCUAAUCUUUAAAUCUACUCUAAGUUCGGAUUGUAGGCUGCAACUCGCCUACAUAAAGAUGGAAUCGCUAGUAAUCGCUGGUCAGCUACACAGCGGUGAAUCCGUUCCCGGGCCUUGUACACACCGCCCGUCACACCAUGGAAGCUGGUCACACCCAAAGUCGUUAUUCUAACCGUUUGGAGGAAGGCGCCUAAGGUAGGAUUGGUGACUAGGGUGAAGUCGUAACAAGGUAA
rnacentral:rRNA from 1 species